rnacentral:misc_RNA from 1 species
GUACUAUUGAAAUAUGUGGUACUUCAGAUGAUGGCCUUGAAAAGAAGGAAGUUGAGAAAAAUUUUGUGAAAUCGCCAAACCAGGAAAAUGGUCGAUUACCUCCCACAUCACGUUCAUCCAAUAGUGACUUGGGGAAAGAAACCUCUAUGAGUUAUGAACCACAUACUGAAAUUUCUGGGAGAAGUAUGGGUUUUUUUAGCCUGAUUAUGAGAUGGUGGAAAUUUGGGGGAAAUAGUCCAAACUCUGAUUCAUCAGCUGGUCAACCAAGCAAAGAAGAUUCAUCAACUGAUCAACCCAGCAAAGAACUCGAGCAGAUAAACAGUUAUUCUGGAAAGCAUGAAAUUUUUUCUGAAGAUUCCUUUUGGAAAGAGAUGGAAUCCUUUUUGGACUCACGGAGGGGAUCACUUGUUGUAUUGCAAUCAAAGACGAGGGAACAAAUGGCAAGGGAUCUGCAAAUGGACGGACCUGUGGUUCUUAGAUCUCUUACUGAAAGUGAUGUCCUUAAGUUGGUUGGCAUGUUAAUAUCAGAGAAGAAAUGGUUGGAAGAAAAUCCCUCUGAGGCUUCACCUUUUAAGCUCACUUUGUCUACUGGAAAUAAUACUUUAUUUGGUGAUUCUCGUGCUUCAAAUGGAUUAAGAUCUAUUUUUUUGAGCACACCAUCACAAUCUGAUUCAAAGAGGCAACCAAAUCGCAAUGGAGAUGAAAGAAAUGGAAGAAUUCAGAAUAUUUCUCCUGCUGGAGUUUCUCAACCAGUUAGCUAUAGAAAACCUUCAGAAAAGUCUAGAAGUGAGACAUUAAUCAACUGUCAAAAGCUUGUGAAUGAGUUAUUGGAGGAGUUUCCUGAAGGAUAUAAUAUUUGCUCCUUUAGAAAGCUGUUUCUUGAGAGGUAUGGUUAUCAUCUUGAUGUCCAAAAGCUUGGUCACCAAAAAUUGGCAUCCUUGCUACAGGAGUUGCGUGGGGUAAAAAUAGAGUCCAGUUAUAUUAUUCCUUCCAGUAUAGCCCCCAAUUGUUCCAUUCAGGAUAGUGCUGUUCCUAAUGUCCAAGAAUGUGAUUCAGUUCAUACAUCAGCAACUUCAGGUAGUGAAUUAUCUGAUGCAUCAAAAGAUGAUGAAUCAGACUCUACAUGGGAGGAAUUGGGUCCUGUUGACAACACAGGUUCUAGCAGGAAGGACCCAGAAGAAAAAAGCACAUUUACCCAUUAUGAGCCUUCUCUCUCAGAUGAUGAAUUUUCAGAAACAGAAAGAGAGUUCUUAACUGGAACUCGUGAAGGAGGGCUAGCAAAAUCUGGAAUGAACAAUGAAGAUAGUUCAUUACUCCAAAUUCUAGAUUCAUGGUACAGCAGUAAGGAUGGUGUCAAAAAGAAAGACAAACCAGAGAAUGUGCAAGACAUGGUUGAUUGUGCCAAAAAUGCUUUACAGCCAUCCGAUCCAUUGGAACUAGGUACCAAGAUUGACAGUUCUUUAAGAAACUAUGGCCAAAAGCAGAAACCUCAAAAGCGCUAUUCUUUUGUUGCAGACCCUGAUGAUAAUAACCUUGAUGCUAAUAACUCAAACAAGCUGAUUGACGGCAUAAUAGUUAGCUUGAAGAAAUCUGGUGAGUCAGGGAUGCGGAGCUGAUGCAUGUCAAGGAGCGAAAACAAAUGAAAACAUCAAAUAUCGAGUUUUCUUGUGGAGUGUUGGCAAAGGUGAGAUUCAAUUUUUUUGAAAUUUGAGAGAAAUUUAGACUUACAUUGCAGUUGCUGCAGCUUUAGUUUAGGAGUUUGACAUGAUUGAGUGGCUAUUUUGAAGAUGGGCGCUGUUAAGAAAUUUUAUUUGUUGUCAGUCCUUAAAUUAGUUAAGGCUACCGGUACUAGUCAGAGUUGAUGUCUAUCCGGCAUAGAAGGAGAUUAAGAUUACUUACACCAAUUUAUGUAGGCCCUUAUAGUGUAUUCUUUAAGAAAUGCACACUUAUUUCUUUUCAGCAUUGUAUCUUCCGCGCAACUAUUUGGGAAAAAUUACGUUUCUUCCUGUACUCUUUUUGACUGGCUUUCUUCCUUAACUUCACACCCUCGAGCAUGCUAAACUCAAGAUAUUGCAAAAACCAUAUUGUUUAAUCAACAUGCUUACAGCUU